AGAGUUACACCCAGAAUGAUUACUAUAUUGUGACCCAGAUGCCCCUUCCAAACACUGCGGCCGACUGCUGGCGUCUGCUCUUCGACUACCAUUCUGAUACAGUGGUGAUGCUCAACGAAUUUGAUAGGAAUGACAAGUCCUGUGCCCUAUACUGGCCUGAAGAGUACGGGUACACAGUGGAGUACGGUCCCCUGAGUAUUGAGCUGUUGUUCUAAUCAGAAGAAGACGCCAACAUAACUGUGAGGACAUUCAAGUUGACACACAGGACAAAGGGAGAGGACCGUGCUGUGAAGCAGUUCCAGUUCAACGCGUUGCCGGACUACAAGAGUGUCCCAGUGGGGACGUCCAGUCAGCUGCGGCUCACUGAUGCCGUGCUGGAGUGGAUGAGACAUAAGGGCAAGGGACCUGUCACCGUACACUGCAUGUACGUUCUGGCAUUGGCAGUAGAAGUGUUUGUAGACUCAGGGGUGUGAUUGUUACUGCUUUCAGCAAAUGUUCUCCCUUUUAAUGUCAAAUUAAUUUUGCUAAUAAUGAUAAAGUUUAAUGGAUUUAUAUACAAUUGAAGAGUCGUGUUGAACCCUGUAAGGGGGGCAUGUCAUUUUCCUCAACUGAGGUUGUUUUUAAAUCAAUCCCCUUGUAGUGAGACUGCUGCUGCUUAUGUGAUUUUUAUAUAUCUUUUUGUUGGUUAUCAUGACUUACAUUCAUCCUAUUAACGGUUUCAUAUUUUAUACUGUUAGACUGGUAGACUAAAUAAGUUAUUUUUAUGCCCCCGAAGGAGGGCAUAUAGUGAUCGGACCGUCUGUCUGUCUGUCUGUCCUUCCUUCACACUUUGCGUUUAGGUUUCGCGUUUUAUGUCCCUUCACAUAGCAACUUGAUAUUUGGCAUGUGUAUCUCAUGGAGCUGCAUAUUUUGAGUGGUGAAAGGUCACGGUCAUCUUUCAAGAUCAAAGGUAAAAAAACAUGUAUCAAAGCGGCGCAGUAGGGGGCAUUGUGUUUCUGACUAACACAUCUCUUGUUGUUAAUAAUUUUAAUGCUAAUUACCUAAAGUAUUUUAAUGUUGAAUGAAUGUAGGUUAACACUAAAUGUCACCGUGUCUCAAACUUUGAUAAUAAUAAAUGUGGUAUUUAUUUAAAAAAUUCAUUUUCAUGCUCAUAAUUUGGUCACAUUUUGAAACCAGCAUUUUGCUGCCCUGGAAUUGCAAAUUUAAUGUCUUCAUGUGUUAUUUUGUAAAACUGUUUGAUUAAAAAAAUUAUUUUGUUCAAUAUGAUUUAGGCUGGUUUCCCAAAGUUUACAUUUUAAUGAGUUUUUAGAUCAACACUUUAUGUCAAUAUGCCUCUACUUUUGUUCAUAAUACAUAUUGUAUUGAUUAAGAAAUUGUUUGUUCCUUCUAAUAAUUUGGUCAGAUUUUAAAACAGCUUCUAGCCUCCCUUUAAUUGCAAAUUGUUUUUACAGUUGAAAUCAUAAUGCACCUAAUAUCAGUUUAAUGAAUUAACAUCUGGUCAGUAUAUUUGCUGCAUGGUGUUGUCGCAUAACUUUACUCAGAGAAAAAAUGUUUUAGAUGCUAUUUAAUAUUAAAAAGUAGAUUUUGUUUGUCAUAAAUUUGCUGUUUGUCAAGAAAUUUCAUUUUCGUGUUUAAAAUUUGGUCAAGUUUUAAAACAGCGUCUUGCCUCCCUUGAAUUGCAAGUAGUUGCUAUAGUUAAAUAUAAUGGUAUACCGGUACAUAAUAUCAUUUUAAUGAAUACACAUAUGUUCAGUA